rnacentral:rRNA from 1 species
UAUGGAGGGUGCAAGCGUUAUCCGGAUUCACUGGGUUUAAAGGGUGCGUAGGCGGGCAAGUAAGUCAGUGGUGAAAUCUCCGGGCUUAACCCGGAAACUGCCAUUGAUACUAUUUGUCUUGAAUACUGUGGAGGUCAGCGGAAUAUGUCAUGUAGCGGUGAAAUGCUUAGAUAUGACAUAGAACACCAAUUGCGAAGGCAGCUGGCUACACAAAUAUUGACACUGAGGCACGAAAGCGUGGGGAUCAAACAGG